UGCGAGCAGAACCAGAACCCGGAAAGAAAGGAAGACGCUCGGGGACAAAAGCUCAAGAAUACUGCCCGGAAGGCACAACUGUACUAGGCAGAAACAGCUGCAGCAACAGCAGGAGCGGCGGCAGCAAAGAACAGCAGCCGGCUCAGCGCACAGCAGCCCCGAGUGAUAAGCAAACUCUGACGUUUCCUUGAAGGAGCCGCCGUGACUCAGAGAGAGCAAGAUUUCCUGCCCCAAGUCCCAAAACAAACAAAUGGCCCUUGUGCACCCGCACAGCCCCGGCCCGAGUCGGCUUCCGAAAACGCCUUUUUUGUGCUUUGGGCCAAA